GACCAGACUCCUACGGGAGGCAGCAGUGGGGAAUAUUGCACAAUGGGGGAAACCCUGAUGCAGCGACGCCGCGUGAGUGAAGAAGUAAUUCGUUAUGUAAGGCUCUAUCAGCAGGGAAGAAAAUGACGGUACCUGAGUAAGAAGCCCCGGCUAACUACGUGCCAGCAGCCGCGGUAAUACGUAGGGGGCAAGCGUUAUCCGGAUUUACUGGGUGUAAAGGGAGCGUAGACGGCAGUGCAAGUCAGGAGUGAAAGCCCGGGGCCCAACCCCGGGACUGCUCUUGGAACUGCGCGGCUGGAGUGCAGGAGGGGCAGGCGGAAUUCCUGGUGUAGCGGUGAAAUGCGUAGAUAUCAGGAGGAACGCCGGUGGCGAAGGCGGCCUGCUGGACUGCGACUGACGUUGAGGCCCGAAAGCGUGGGGAGCAAACAGGAUUAGAUACCCGAGUAU
rnacentral:rRNA from 1 species